GCCGAAGUGAUGAAACUGGCAAACAUGCACGGUUCAGAACCGUGUGCCCUUUAGGGCUUGUGGGUUCAAAUCCCACCUUCGGCA
rnacentral:tRNA from 1 species